AUAGAGAUAAAAACACAGUUUCGGUUGGUAGUCCGAACCUAUCUAAUUUAACGCUAGCAGUAACCUGCCCUCCUGGGUUGUCCAUUCUCUAUGUUU
rnacentral:ncRNA from 1 species